AGGAUGAACGCUGGCGGUGUGCCUAAUACAUGCAAGUCGAACGAAGUCUUCGGACUUAGUGGCGAACGGGUGAGUAACACGUUGGUACCUGCCCCGAAGUGGGGAAUAACUGGCCGAAAGGUCGGCUAAUACCGCAUAAUACCGCAAGGUUAAAGCAUUUAUGCGCUUCGGGAGGGGCCUGCGUCCCAUUAGCUUGUUGGUGGUGUAAUAGACCACCAAGGCUACGAUGGGUAGCUGGAUCGAGAGGUUGACCAGCCACACUGGGACUGAGAUACGGCCCAGACUCCUACGGGAGGCAGCAGUAAGGAAUCUUCCACAAUGGACGAAAGUCUGAUGGAGCAACACCGCGUGCAGGAUGACGGUCUUCGGAUUGUAAACUGCUUUUAUAUGGGAAGAUUAUGACGGUACCAUAUGAAUAAGCACCGGCUAACUACGCGCCAGCAGCCGC
rnacentral:rRNA from 1 species